AAAACAUAGCCCCUUGGAAUUCAUAAGGGGUCAAGCCUGCCCAGUGGGGAAUACUUUCCUAAACGGCCGCGGUAUCUUGACCGUGCAAAGGUAGCAUAAUCACUUGUCUCUUAAAUGGGGACCCGUAUGAAUGGCUUUUCAUCCUCUAACUGUCUCCCUUUUUUUCCACAUAAACUUCUAUUUACGUGAAGAAGCGUACUUCAGAGAGAAAGACGAGAAGACCCUGUCGAGCUUUAGCUUAUCCUACCCAUUUACAUUUAUCCUUCCCCAGGAAAAAACCUCUGUAGGCCAGGCUUUGGUUGGGGCAACCAUGGAGAAAAAAUAUCCUCCAGCUUUCUAGGAAGAGAAUCAACUCCCCUUUCCCGCUUUUGAGAACCAAUACUUUUGGAAAACGGAAAAAGUUACCGCAGGGAUAACAGCGUUAUCUUUUCUAAGAGCCCUUAUUGACGAAAAGGAUUGCGACCUCGAUGUUGGAUUGGGGUAACCAAAGGGUGCAGCAGCUCUUUAAGGUUGGACUGUUCGUCCAUUAAUCCCCUACGUGAUCUGAGUU
rnacentral:rRNA from 1 species